rnacentral:rRNA from 1 species
UACGUAGGGGGCGAGCGUUAUCCGGAAUUAUUGGGCGUAAAGGGUGCGUAGGUGGUUUUUUAAGCGCAGGGUCUAAUGCACAGGCUUAACUUGUGUCCGCCUUGCGAACUGAAGGACUUGAGUGCAGGAGAGGAAAGCGGAAUUCCUAGUGUAGCGGUGAAAUGCGUAGAUAUUAGGAGGAACACCAGUGGCGAAGGCGGCUUUCUGGACUGUAACUGACACUGAGGCAUGAAAGCGUGGGUAGCAAACAGG